UGCCAGCCGCCGCGGUAAUACGGAGGGUGCGAGCGUUAAUCGGAAUCACUGGGCGUAAAGCGUACGUAGGCGGCGUAUCAAGUCAGGCGUGAAAGCCCUCGGCUCAACCGAGGAAUUGCGUUUGAAACUGGUAUGCUAGAGUCUCGGAGAGGUUGGCGGAAUUCCAGGUGUAGGAGUGAAAUCCGUAGAUAUCUAGGAAGGAACACCAAUAGCGAAAGCAGUGCUCUGGCACAUUCCUGACAUUGAGGUGCGAAAGCGUGGGGAUCAAAAGGGAUUAGAUA
rnacentral:rRNA from 1 species